rnacentral:rRNA from 1 species
GGGUUGUGAGGUUAAGCGACUAAGCGUACACGGUGGAUGCCCUGGCAGUCAGAGGCGAUGAAGGACGUGCUAAUCUGCGAUAAGCGUCGGUAAGGUGAUAUGAACCGUUAUAACCGGCGAUUUCCGAAUGGGGAAACCCAGUGUGAUUCGUCACACUAUCAUUAACUGAAUCCAUAGGUUAAUGAGGCGAACCGGGGGAACUGAAACAUCUAAGUACCCCGAGGAAAAGAAAUCAACCGAGAUUCCCCCAGUAGCGGCGAGCGAACGGGGAGCAGCCCAGAGCCUGAAUCAGUGUGUGUGUUAGUGGAAGCGUCUGGAAAGGCGUGCGAUACAGGGUGACAGCCCCGUACACAAAAAUGCACAUAUUGUGAGCUCGAUGAGUAGGGCGGGACACGUGGUAUCCUGUCUGAAUAUGGGGGGACCAUCCUCCAAGGCUAAAUACUCCUGACUGACCGAUAGUGAACCAGUACCGUGAGGGAAAGGCGAAAAGAACCCCGGCGAGGGGAGUGAAAAAGAACCUGAAACCGUGUACGUACAAGCAGUGGGAGCACAGAGCAAUCUGUGUGACUGCGUACCUUUUGUAUAAUGGGUCAGCGACUUAUAUUCUGUAGCAAGGUUAACCGAAUAGGGGAGCCGAAGGGAAACCGAGUCUUAACUGGGCGUUAAGUUGCAGGGUAUAGACCCGAAACCCGGUGAUCUAGCCAUGGGCAGGUUGAAGGUUGGGUAACACUAACUGGAGGACCGAACCGACUAAUGUUGAAAAAUUAGCGGAUGACUUGUGGCUGGGGGUGAAAGGCCAAUCAAACCGGGAGAUAGCUGGUUCUCCCCGAAAGCUAUUUAGGUAGCGCCUCGUGAAUUCAUCUCCGGGGGUAGAGCACUGUUUCGGCAAGGGGGUCAUCCCGACUUACCAACCCGAUGCAAACUGCGAAUACCGGAGAAUGUUAUCACGGGAGACACACGGCGGGUGCUAACGUCCGUCGUGAAGAGGGAAACAACCCAGACCGCCAGCUAAGGUCCCAAAGUCAUGGUUAAGUGGGAAACGAUGUGGGAAGGCCCAGACAGCCAGGAUGUUGGCUUAGAAGCAGCCAUCAUUUAAAGAAAGCGUAAUAGCUCACUGGUCGAGUCGGCCUGCGCGGAAGAUGUAACGGGGCUAAACCAUGCACCGAAGCUGCGGCAGCGACGCUUAUGCGUUGUUGGGUAGGGGAGCGUUCUGUAAGCCUGUGAAGGUGUGCUGUGAGGCAUGCUGGAGGUAUCAGAAGUGCGAAUGCUGACAUAAGUAACGAUAAAGCGGGUGAAAAGCCCGCUCGCCGGAAGACCAAGGGUUCCUGUCCAACGUUAAUCGGGGCAGGGUGAGUCGACCCCUAAGGCGAGGCCGAAAGGCGUAGUCGAUGGGAAACAGGUUAAUAUUCCUGUACUUGGUGUUACUGCGAAGGGGGGACGGAGAAGGCUAUGUUGGCCGGGCGACGGUUGUCCCGGUUUAAGCGUGUAGGCUGGUUUUCCAGGCAAAUCCGGAAAAUCAAGGCUGAGGCGUGAUGACGAGGCACUACGGUGCUGAAGCAACAAAUGCCCUGCUUCCAGGAAAAGCCUCUAAGCAUCAGGUAACAUCAAAUCGUACCCCAAACCGACACAGGUGGUCAGGUAGAGAAUACCAAGGCGCUUGAGAGAACUCGGGUGAAGGAACUAGGCAAAAUGGUGCCGUAACUUCGGGAGAAGGCACGCUGAUAUGUAGGUGAAGUCCCUCGCGGAUGGAGCUGAAAUCAGUCGAAGAUACCAGCUGGCUGCAACUGUUUAUUAAAAACACAGCACUGUGCAAACACGAAAGUGGACGUAUACGGUGUGACGCCUGCCCGGUGCCGGAAGGUUAAUUGAUGGGGUUAGCGCAAGCGAAGCUCUUGAUCGAAGCCCCGGUAAACGGCGGCCGUAACUAUAACGGUCCUAAGGUAGCGAAAUUCCUUGUCGGGUAAGUUCCGACCUGCACGAAUGGCGUAAUGAUGGCCAGGCUGUCUCCACCCGAGACUCAGUGAAAUUGAACUCGCUGUGAAGAUGCAGUGUACCCGCGGCAAGACGGAAAGACCCCGUGAACCUUUACUAUAGCUUGACACUGAACAUUGAGCCUUGAUGUGUAGGAUAGGUGGGAGGCUUUGAAGUGUGGACGCCAGUCUGCAUGGAGCCGACCUUGAAAUACCACCCUUUAAUGUUUGAUGUUCUAACGUUGACCCGUAAUCCGGGUUGCGGACAGUGUCUGGUGGGUAGUUUGACUGGGGCGGUCUCCUCCUAAAGAGUAACGGAGGAGCACGAAGGUUGGCUAAUCCUGGUCGGACAUCAGGAGGUUAGUGCAAUGGCAUAAGCCAGCUUGACUGCGAGCGUGACGGCGCGAGCAGGUGCGAAAGCAGGUCAUAGUGAUCCGGUGGUUCUGAAUGGAAGGGCCAUCGCUCAACGGAUAAAAGGUACUCCGGGGAUAACAGGCUGAUACCGCCCAAGAGUUCAUAUCGACGGCGGUGUUUGGCACCUCGAUGUCGGCUCAUCACAUCCUGGGGCUGAAGUAGGUCCCAAGGGUAUGGCUGUUCGCCAUUUAAAGUGGUACGCGAGCUGGGUUUAGAACGUCGUGAGACAGUUCGGUCCCUAUCUGCCGUGGGCGCUGGAGAACUGAGGGGGGCUGCUCCUAGUACGAGAGGACCGGAGUGGACGCAUCACUGGUGUUCGGGUUGUCAUGCCAAUGGCACUGCCCGGUAGCUAAAUGCGGAAGAGAUAAGUGCUGAAAGCAUCUAAGCACGAAACUUGCCCCGAGAUGAGUUCUCCCUGACCCUUUAAGGGUCCUGAAGGAACGUUGAAGACGACGACGUUGAUAGGCCGGGUGUGUAAGCGCAGCGAUGCGUUGAGCUAACCGGUACUAAUGAACCGUGAGGCUUAACCUUACAACGCCGAAGGUGUUU